CGCACAACGCAAAUAGGAUUGAUCGGAUCGAGUAACUGGAUUACGACACAUUGCCGGAGACCAAAGGCUCGCGGGGCGGAGUGGGAGGGGAGGGUGUAGAGGUCGGACAAGACAUGGCAAGAUGUUGGGCGGCUAGUCGACGCGUAUUGUGGGCAUAUGGUGCUAUUUUAUAGGAUGAGCUACGGAUCAUAAAACUUUCAUGUUACUCCCUUUUCUAAUAUCUAUGUCUACUUCUUUAUCUAAAAAAUAAUCAGAUCAGAAGUACAGCCCAACGAUUGACGUCCCUUGUCUGCUAUGCAACCACAUGAUUAAUUUCAUGCGUACCACAACUAUGGAGCCAAAACAAACUCGGGGAUAUGCUGGAGUGCUGCUCCCUUCAUAAUGCAUUCUAGUUUUUUGGAAUAAGAUGCACGCCAUUGUUGAUGCCCAGGAUCAUGGCUAGUGCGGCAGAGAACUAGACACGCACGCACACCACGCCCGACACAUUGCACACACACACGACACCCAGCACGCAGACCAUGCCCCGAGACACAUGCAUACACGGACACGAUGUUGGACACGCAUGCUGCUGACCAGCACGCGUGUGCACAAAUGCAUCCCUGCCGGCCCGAGAGAGCCGCUGCAUGCCGCACACGCACAACCACUGUCGCCGCCAGAUCCUUACAAUAGGGGGAAAGACUGAAAAGUGAGAGGAAGAUGGAGACUACCUGAUCCACCGCCGGCGCCCUCAAUCUUCGCUAAUGAACUCGAUGGGCACUGUCCAGUGGAAGAUGGAGAUCCUCGACUCAUGGCUCCUGACGGCUCAUCUGCUGAAGCAACAGCGAGGCAGGCUCAAAAUCAUGGAUGCAGGCGUGACGGCGCGCAUACUGGCCGGAAGAGUGUCCGUGCAGCUGCCGCUCUAUCCGUUCUCGCAUCUGUUUGGGUCGCUGCGGUCGGGCAACCGCCGAUUCGUUCCAUCUCGCAAUCACCUGAGCCGUCACGGCCGCCGCUCCGGUUUCGUGGUCUAUCCUCUCAGCCGUCGCUACAGAGCCAUCUCUCGAUCUCGCUGGUUCAUGGCGAUUUGUAACCUUUAGAAUCGCUGGAAUUCGAAGGGAUUAAUUUAGAUUUAUAGUGCCAUAUAGGGAUUUGUUACAGAGUUGUAUACAAACACGUCAAGCAUGAAUAUUAUUUGUGUGGA